rnacentral:rRNA from 1 species
GGUGACUGCGUACCUUUUGUAUAAUGGGUCAGCGACUUAUAUUCUGUAGCAAGGUUAACCGUAUAGGGGAGCCGAAGGGAAACCGAGUCUUAACUGGGCGUUAAGUUGCAGGGUAUAGACCCGAAACCCGGUGAUCUAGCCAUGGGCAGGUUGAAGGUUGGGUAACACUAACUGGAGGACCGAACCGACUAAUGUUGAAAAAUUAGCGGAUGACCUGUGGCUGGGGGUGAAAGGCCAAUCAAACCGGGAGAUAGCUGGUUCUCCCCGAAAGCUAUUUAGGUAGCGCCUCGUGAACUCAUCUUCGGGGGUAGAGCACUGUUUCGGCUAGGGGGCCAUCCCGGCUUACCAACCCGAUGCAAACUACGAAUACCGAAGAAUGUUAUCACGGGAGACACACGGCGGGUGCUAACGUCCGUCGUGAAGAGGGAAACAACCCAGACCGCCAGCUAAGGUCCCAAAGUCAUGGUUAAGUGGGAAACGAUGUGGGAAGGCACAGACAGCCAGGAUGUUGGCUUAGAAGCAGCCAUCAUUUAAAGAAAGCGUAAUAGCUCACUGGUCGAGUCGGCCUGCGCGGAAGAUGUAACGGGGCUAAACCAUGCACCGAAGCUGCGGCAGCGACACUAUGUGUUGUUGGGUAGGGGAGCGUUCUGUAAGCCGUUGAAGGUGUGCUGUGAGGCAUGCUGGAGGUAUCAGAAGUGCGAAUGCUGACAUAAGUAACGAUAAAGCGGGUGAAAAGCCCGCUCGCCGGAAGACCAAGGGUUCCUGUCCAACGUUAAUCGGGGCAGGGUGAGUCGACCCCUAAGGCGAGGCCGAAAGGCGUAGUCGAUGGGAAACAGGUUAAUAUUCCUGUACUUGGUGUUACUGCGAAGGGGGGACGGAGAAGGCUAUGUCAGCCGGGCGACGGUUGUCCCGGUUUAAGCAUGUAGGCGGAGGUUCCAGGUAAAUCCGGUACCUU